CCGGAUUUAUUGGGUUUAAAGGGAGCGUAGGCGGACGCCUAAGUCAGUUGUGAAAGUUUGCGGCUCAACCGUAAAAUUGCAGUUGAUACUGGGUGUCUUGAGUACAGUAGAGGCAGGCGGAAUUCGUGGUGUAGCGGUGAAAUGCUUAGAUAUCACGAAGAACUCCGAUUGCGAAGGCAGCCUGCUGGACUGUAACUGACGCUGAUGCUCGAAAGUGUGGGUAUCAAACAGGAUUAGAUACCCUGGUAGUCCACACAGUAAACGAUGAAUACUCGCUGUUUGCGAUAUACAGUAAGCGGCCAAGCGAAAGCGUUAAGUAUUCCACCUGGGGAGUACGCCGGCAACGGUGAAACUCAAAGGAAUUGACGGGGGCCCGCACAAGCGGAGGAACAUGUGGUUUAAUUCGAUGAUACGCGAGGAACCUUACCCGGGCUUGAAUUGCAACUGAAUGAUGUGGAGACAUGUCAGCCGCAAGGCAGUUGUGAAGGUGCUGCAUGGUUGUCGUCAGCUCGUGCCGUGAGGUGUCGGCUUAAGUGCCAUAACGAGCGCAACCCUUAUCGAUAGUUACCAUCAGGUGAUGCUGGGGACUCUGUCGAGACUGCCGUCGUAAGAUGUGAGGAAGGUGGGGAUGACGUCAAAUCAGCACGGCCCUUACGUCCGGGGCUACACACGUGUUACAAUGGGGGGUACAGAAGGCAGCUACACGGCGACGUGAUGCUAAUCCCGAAAGCCUCUCUCAGUUCGGAUUGGAGUCUGCAACCCGACUCCAUGAAGCUGGAUUCGCUAGUAAUCGCGCAUCAGCCACGGCGCGGUGAAUACGUUCCCGGGCCUUGUACACACCGCCCGUCAAGCCAUGAAAGCCGGGGGUACCUGAAGUGCGUAACCGCAAGGAGCGCCCUAGGGUAAAACUGGUGAUUGGGG
rnacentral:rRNA from 1 species